UCCUAUGGAUGAGCAAAGGAAGUGGUUUCUAGAUGGAGUCUACACCUGGUGAAGAUGCUAUGAA
rnacentral:pre_miRNA from 2 species